AUUGAACGCUGGCGGCAGGCCUAACACAUGCAAGUCGAACGCGUGGCGGACGGGUGAGUACUGUCUGGGACACUGCCCGAGGGAGGGGGAUAACUUCUGGAAACGGUAUCUAAUCCCGCAUUCCAUCGUAUGUGCCCAUAUGGGAUUAGCUAGUAGGUGGGGUAACGGCUCACCUAGGCGACGAUCCCGAGCUGGUCUGAGAGGAUGACCAGCCACACUGGGACUGAGACACGGGCCAGACUCCUACGGGAGGCAGCAGUGGGGAAUAUUGCACAAUGGGCGCAAGCCUGAUGCAGCCAUGCCGCGUGUAUGAAGAAGGCCUUAGGGUUGUAAAGUACUUUCAGCGGGGAGGCGUUACUCGCAGAAGAAGCACCGGCUAACUCCGUGCCAGCAGCCGCGGUAAUAC
rnacentral:rRNA from 1 species